GCCGGGCUUGGUAACGUGAGCUUGUAACCCAAGUGGGGGCGAUAAAGUGGUGGAAUAUUGGGUUGACCCAGAAGGCAGGACUUUGUGGGCUAAUCUCUGGCCUGCCCUGUCCAAGCAUGGAGUUGGGCUUCGUAGUCCAAGUGAAAAUAUGGGCUGCGUAGCUCCUAAAGUGGGGCGGACCGCGUGAGGCUGGUUUCACAGAGCAAUGAACAGCUCCCGCUCUGUGCAGUGGAAGGAUAACGGAUCAGUGUUCACAAAGUCCAACAAAAGCCUGAUGGGCUGAUCCAAUUAAACCACCACAUUU
rfam:Nicotiana attenuata strain TT chromosome 8, whole genome shotgun sequence.